rnacentral:piRNA from 1 species
UACAAUUUUAAUUGCUACAAUUGUCUGGUU